rnacentral:sRNA from 1 species
GCCUGGCACCUCAUCCCCAUCCCAGGACAUGGAAGAGACGCACCCCCUGCCCACCAUACGCCCAGCUAAGAGCUGCCUGGCCUGGGGCCUCCCGUCAGGGCCACUGCUGGUGGGAUUUGUGACCCCUUCCCCGGCCCCUCCGUAAAGGUUUCCCUGGAGACCCCACGGCGGGACGAUCGGGGACAAGAGGCUGGGGACGGAGCCAGGACCAAGGACGCCUCACUGCCUCCCUGGUUCUGAGACACUCGCUUUGUAGCUCCCACGGUUUACAGCAUGGUGACGUCGUCACCGGUUGUGUCUUGCAGGUUGAGCGGGAGAGAACACAGUGUGUUCACAGGUGUUGCCAUCGUCCACUGCUCCAGCAAAGAACAUCAACUGGACACCAGGGUCUCGGAAUUCUACGAGGAAACGAAGGUGAAGUUCUCGGAGCUGUCUGAGGAGCUGCUCUGGGAAUACAUCCACAGCGGGGAGCCCAUGGACAAAGCUGGUGGCUACGGGAUCCAGGCCCUGGGCGGCAUGCUGGUGGAAUCUGUACACGGGGACUUUCUGAACGUAGUGGGAUUCCCGCUGAACCACUUCUGCAAGCAGCUGGUGAAGCUCUACUACCCGCCCCGCCCGGAGGACUUGCGGCGGCGUGUCAAGCACAACUCCAUCCCCGCCGUGGAUACCUUCGAAGACCUCAGUGACGUGGAGGGGAGCGGCUCGGAGCCCGCUCAGAGGGACACGGGCAGCUGCGAUGAGAAGGCCCAGGCGGGAGAGGCGGGACAGGCCGCGGCAGAGGCUGAGUGUCACAGGACUCAGGAGACCCUGCCUCCGUUCCCGACACGCCUCCUGGAGCUGAUUGACGGCUUUAUGCUAUCGAAGGUACCUG